UUGGUAAACUCCGUGAGUAUAUUCAUUAGUAAUGAGAGGAAUAUAUAGGAUACAAUAGAAGGGUCUAGAGAGUAUCUAAGUGUAUCACAAAGAUAUUUACAUAUCUAAUCAUAUAUUCUAACACUCCCCCGCAGUCGAAGCGUCAGUUGGAGUAACGGUGAGACUGGUUCUGAACUCGAUGAACAGAGGUGAGUGGAGGCCUUUUGUGAAAAUGUCAGCAAACUGUUGUGAGGAUGGUACGUGUAGAACCCGGACAUGACCAAGGGCAACUUUUUCCCUGACAAAAUGAAUGUCAAUUU
rnacentral:lncRNA from 1 species